rnacentral:rRNA from 1 species
GACGUAGGGCGCGAGCGUUGUCCGGAUUUAUUGGGCGUAAAGAGCUCGUAGGCGGCUUGUCGCGUCGACUGUGAAAUCUCAGAGCUCAACUCUGACAUUGCAGUCGAUACGGGCAGGCUAGAGUUCGGUAGGGGAGACUGGAAUUCCUGGUGUAGCGGUGAAAUGCGCAGAUAUCAGGAGGAACACCGAUGGCGAAGGCAGGU